rnacentral:rRNA from 1 species
AUUGAACGCUGGCGGCAGGCUUAACACAUGCAAGUCGAACGGACUACUUCGGUAGUUAGUGGCGAACGGGUGAGUAAUGCCUAGGAAUCUGCCGUUUAAUGGGGGAUAACGUUCCGAAAGGAACGCUAAUACCGCAUACGCCCUACGGGGGAAAGCAGGGGAUCUUCGGACCUUGCGUUAAACGAUGAGCCUAGGUCGGAUUAGCUAGUUGGUGGGGUAAAGGCGCACCAAGGCGACGAUCUGUAGCGGGUCUGAGAGGAUGAUCCGCCACACUGGAACGUAGACACGGUCCAGACUCCUACGGGAGGCAGCAGUGGGGAAUAUUGGACAAUGGGCGAAAGCCUGAUCCAGCCAUGCCGCGUGUGUGAAGAAGGCCUUUUGGUUGUAAAGCACUUUAAGCGAGGAGGAGGGCACUUGGGCUAAUAUCCUAAAGUGUCGGACGUUACUCGCAGAAUAAGCACCGGCUAACUCUGUGCCAGCCGCCGCGGUAAAAC